rnacentral:rRNA from 1 species
UGGGGAAUAUUGCACAAUGGGCGAAAGCCUGAUGCAGCGACGCCGCGUGCGGGAUGAAGGCCUUCGGGUUGUAAACCGCUUUUAAUUGGGAGCAAGCGAGAGUGAGUGUACCUUUUGAAUAAGCACCGGCUAACUACGUGCCAGCAGCCGCGGUAAUACGUAGGGUGCAAGCGUUAUCCGGAAUUAUUGGGCGUAAAGAGCUCGUAGGCGGUUUGUCACGCCUGGUGUGAAAGUCCAUCGCUUAACGGUGGAUCUGCGCCGGGUACGGGCAGGCUAGAGUGCAGUAGGGGAGAUUGGAAUUCCCGGUGUAACGGUGGAAUGUGUAGAUAUCGGGAAGAACACCAAUGGCGAAGGCAGAUCUCUGGGCUGUUACUGACGCUGAGGAGCGAAAGCAUGGGGAGCGAACAGGAUUAGAUACC